GUGGGUAUAGUUUAAUAAAAGCGUCAGAUUGUGAUUCUGAAGAUAGAGGAGAAUACCCUCUUACU
rnacentral:tRNA from 1 species